AUGGCAGGUCGUAGAGGCUAGCUGACCGAGACAUAAACAUUCUAUCUCCCCAUCAGUCAGUGAAGCAUUACUGAUCAAUGGCUUCAUUGAAGGCUGAGAAAUCUGUUGGCACUGAUCACCCCUCAGGGCAGGCCAAGAAAGAGCCUGCCAAGCUUAAUGACAGCACCUCCAAAACAACGGCAUCAAAGCCGGCCUUCAAGAAGGCUGCACAAAAGCCUCAAGAAGCCAAGAAGAUGCUGGGAAAACGAUACAAACCAGGAAAGCACUAAGCUAAUUGUCAAAUGCAUCAGCUGUGGGGUGAAUAAGUUAAUAGUUAGUCUCAUGCUAUCCAAUUUCAGUACGUUUUAGCUUUUAAUCCAAUAUUGUGUAACAACAACCCUAUCUUACUGAUCAAGGGCCAUUGAUGCAUCUGAAUGCAAGGCACUUGCGUUAGAGAAAUAAAACUUUGUAUUUGAAACUA